rnacentral:lncRNA from 1 species
ACUGUGUAAUGUCGUCAAAUUUGGAUCACAACCAAAUCACCUAAUUGCAGUAAAAAAAGUAUUUAGUGUUUGACGGUCAGAGACCAAUUGUCACAAUGUCUGGAC